ensembl:lncRNA
ACCCCACCCCGCAAGCCGCGUCGAACCCUGCGGACCCUGCGUACUGAGCACGCGCGGUUCUUCCGCCCGCGACGGGAACCGCUCCGGCCUGAGCACGCCAAGUUCAGAAUUUGGCAGAGACGCGAUGUUGGCGGGGCCAGAGCAGUCUCUAGGUUUUAACUUGAGGCGGGGAGUGACAAGAAGACACCGGCAAGGUCCAAAAGGAGGCCUUGGCAGGAGGGCCUUGCUAGACACCACCCAGCCUGUGAGCUUUGGUUUUGUCCUGUAUAAACAUAACGAAAAAAGGCUUUGUUUAAAGGACGAGCAUAAAACCGAAGUGAAGCUUUGUUUUAAGCGUCAAGACACAGAGGGAAAAGUGACAGGCCCUCAUCCAGCCCACUGCCAGAGGCGGCAAAGGCCAGCGACCGUGCGGAAGCCGGGCCCACGCCCGGUGACGUCGCCGGGAGUCCCGCCCACCUCCCCCCAGCCCCGCCCUUCUUCAGCAUCUGCUAGAAGUCGAGCUCUUCCCACGCCCUGUCAGCUACGGGCGCUUGGAAAACUGGGAGAGCGAAGCCCCAGGCGCAGCCAGAAGGCCUGGGGACAGCUCAUAGCAACAGCCAGCCGAGGCACCUAGUAGGAAGCUGGGAGUCAUUCCAGCCAACCAGUGCACGUCUCUGGACCCAUGGUACCAUUCUCGGCCAAUAGAGAGCCACUUCAUACCACGUGAUGCCCAUCCAUCAGCCAAUGGGGGAAAAGCCUAGUUGCAGGCUCAGCCCUCCCACCUCCCACGCACGCUCUGCCAACCAACCGCAGGUUCUCAGAAGUUGAGAAGCUCUGGCUUGGAGUGCAUCUGAUAGAAGUUGUCAUGAAAAAAUAAUGAGUGAGUAGGAGUUCCCUUUGGGGCUCAGUGGGUUAAGAACCCAGCUAGUAUCCAUAAGGAUGCACAUUUGAUCCCUGGCCUCACUCAGUGGGUUAAAGGAUCUGGCAUUGCUGCAAGCUGCAGUGUAGGUCACAGACAUGGCUUGGAUCUGGUGUUUCUGUGACUAUGGUAUAUGCUGGCAGCUACAGUUCCUAUUCGGCUCCUAGCCUGGGAACCUCCACAUAUGGCAGGUGUGACCAUUUAAAAAAAAAAAAAAAAGUGAGUGAGUGCCCUGGUUUCUCAGCACAAGAGACAGGUUUGGGGGGGCGUUUCUUAGGUUGUUUUCCCCGACCUUCCAUCAAUGCCGACAUUCUUGAUAAGGAGAGUAUAGAGACUGCAGCUCUUGGAGUAGUUGUACCUCAUGUAUAUUUCUCAUAAUGACAGGCCCCAGUUUUCAUUCUCAAUGCUGCCAUAAAGGUAGAUUUUCAAUCACUAGGAGGCCAAAGAAACAUGUUAAGGAGGAGCAUAUUUUCUGGUCUCUUCUGUCUUGAUACUUAACUGAUCUGAGGCUGAUUGUGAAAUGCCGGUCGAAGAAUUAGCUGCUGUACGAAACGGUGUCAGCAUGUGUAGAGCAUUGUGAAGAUUUAGGCGGGAAUUGGUGUGUAUCUCCUGAUCCCUUAGUCAUGUUCAUUGCAACACCAGCAUGAACUAUCUAUCCUGAGAGUGAUUUUAGAAAUAAAAACUUAUGUCUCCUUUCAUUUGUUUGUGGAAAAGACAAAAUAAAAAUGAGAUAAAAUGAAAUUGAAUUUUCCCCAAGAGCUGUAAAUCUGUCGGGUAGUGACAACAACGGUGUACACCAACACUUCAGGGUCUCUUUAGCUUCAGAAGUGUAUGGCUGGGAGAGAAAGAAAGAAAAACUUCAUUUCUCCUCUCGCUUCUGAACCUGAGAGUUAUCUCACCUAUGCCCAUCUACCCUCAGCUGUCACACUUGUGUUACCAUGGAAACCCAGCCCCUUCCUUUGCUUCUGUGAAUGAUGUUGGGAAAGGUGGGAUGAAAUAGGAAACACACUGUGUUCUGGGACUUUCUGAUGCUAGCAAGAGGCAAGCAUGCAAGGCAUUUAAUAUAAACAAGUCAGGAGAGGUAAUUUGCCAUAUGACCAGUGCUUCUUGGCUAUGAGGCCCUGAUUCCUAUUGAUUCCUAUGAAAGACUACAGAUCUCUGAUUAGCCAUAAAGGAGAAGGACAGGUCAAAUACAUUUAGCACCUAUGCAAUGCUGCUGGCAGUUCUAAAGAGAGCAGAAGACAUUUUCUUCAGGCUCCUAAUACAGCUGAGAAAUAGAAGUACAUAUGAAGAGUAGAAAGGAAGGGGCAAAAUAAACAUGUUUCUCAUUUGAAAAUGUCUUCUGUCUCAGCACUUUUGAAAAGAAAAAGAAUUAGAAUGCAGAAAUCGAGUUAGUAUGUAAACAAAUCAAUGAAAGAAGCCUUUUGGUUGAGAAAGGAAAUUUUUCAAUAGGCAUUUUCAAGCAGGGGAAAAAAAAAAAAAUCCCUGAAGGAAAGGCUUAAUAAGUAAAAUAUAGGAAGAAAAAA